rnacentral:rRNA from 1 species
UACGUAGGGUCCGAGCGUUGUCCGGAAUUAUUGGGCGUAAAGAGCUCGUAGGCGGUUUGUCGCGUCUGGUGUGAAAAUCCGGGGCUCAACCCCGGACUUGCAGUGGGUACGGGCAGACUAGAGUGUGGUGGGGGAGACUGGAAUUCCUGGUGUAGCGGUGAAAUGCGCAGAUAUCAGGAGGAACACCGAUGGCGAAGGCAGGUCUCUGGGCCACUACUGACGCUGAGAAGCGAAAGCAUGGGGAGCGAACAGG